GAGACCCUGUCUCAAACUAACGAACCAACCAACAAACAAAAAAAAUGAAAAACAACAACAAAAACCCUCUCAUUAUAACAUGGAUAGAAAUUGUAGCAUUAUUUAGAAAUUUUCAGAAAAUAAUACUGUUUGAAAACAGACUCCAUGGCUUGAUAAAAAUACAAAUAAAUAUUAACUACUUACAAUCAUAAGAAGUUUUACAUGCUAAAUAUGAAAUUAAUUGUAUAAAGUUCUGUAUAAAUCUAUGGGUUAAAAUGUACAUCAAUACAGAGAAGUUUGAAUAUUAAUAUUAUGAUACAAACUUUGUAGCUAUUUUUAGAAAUAUUUUUUCAUUGACAUGACUAAAAAUCACAUUGCUAAGUAGACCUAAGAUAAAAUAUGUCAAUGUUGUAUAUUCUUUGCACAUAAAUCAAAAGAACCCAUUUCAAGUGGUCUUUUUCACUAGUCUAAGAUCAAACUGUUUUAGAAUAUUAUAGUGGUAUUAUUUUGAUUAGUUAACAAAUACUAUUAUAAUAAAAACAUUUAAUUCAUUUGAGGCCAGUAGUAUUUAUAAUGACAAAAUUUACUUGGUAGUUAUACUUUCUUCAUGAAAAUGAAACUGUAAUAUUUGGAUAUGUCAGCAUUUAUGCUACCUGUAGACUUUUCAUUCAUUUAACAUACAUCUAGGUGAAAUGAAUGAAGCUUUAGUUUUUCAUGGAACUUCACUAAGAUUUGAUCAAUUUUAAAAUGCUGCUAUUAAUAAUUCUGUUUAAGUAUUAAACCCUUAAUACUAACCACCAUUAAAAUAUUUUCUAUUUCUUAGAUUCCAUUAGUUCUUAGGUCUUAUGAAAAUACCAAAUGAGGAAAAAUUUUAACUGUUAUGAUAAACUUCCCUGCAUAUCAAUAAAGACAAUGAAAGGUGUUGCUAUGGCUUGAAUGUGUCCCCUAAAGUUAAUGUGCUGGAAACUUAAUUCCCAUCGUAUUAGGAGAUGAGGCCUUCAGGAACUUAUUAGGCCAUGAGGGCUCUGCCCUUAUAAAGGGAUUAAUGUCAUUAUCAUGGGAGUAGGUUAGUUAUCGCCUUUCCACCAUGAGAUGAGGCCCUCCCCAGAUGUCUGGGCCAUAUUCUUGGACUUACCAGCUUUCAGAACCAUGAGCCAAAUACAUUUCUUUUAUAAAUUACCCAGGCUGUAGCAUUCUGCUAUAGCAGCAGAAAAUGAACUAAAACAGGUAUAAAUAUACAAAAACACAAAAGCAUUUAAAGUAUCUGUUUUCCAAAGUCAAACACAUACUUUAGGGGGCCAUAAAGAUUAAUAAUAUGCAUUUCCUGUCUUCUGUGAGCUCAUAAUUUAAUAAAGAGGAUACAUAUGCCACAUACACAUAGAAUGUCAAUCAAUGUAAGAUAUAGAACUGUAACAGAGAUUAAAAGGCACAUUGGAGAUUAAAAGGCACAUAAUCAGAGUCAAAGAAACAUUUAUUUCAGGAAUCAGGGACAUUUAUAGACUGUGGCAUUUAAUUUGAGGUUUGAUGGUUUGGUAGAAUUUCUUAAGUGGACAAAAGAGAAAUAACAUCUCCCCUGAGGAAACAGCACAAGUAAAAACAAGUAUGAAAUUGUACACUAUGUUUCAGUAGCAAUUAAUUAUCCAGUGUGCCUGCAGCUUAGAUAGUGUUCUGUAGGGAGAUGGAUGCUGCUUAAAGAAUAAUGCAAAGCUUAAAAGUGCCUCUUAACAGAAGCUCUUGAGUUUCAUAAGGAGGAUUUUGGACUCUAUAGAUAAAUAUUUCUGAGUAAAGGUGUAGUGUGUCACAGUACAUCACAGGAUAUAAUUGUGCGUUAUUGAUAUAUUAGAUACAUAAUAUACAUAAUUUAUGAAUAAUAUAUACAUAAUUUAUGAAUAAUGUAUGUUUGCACAUAUAAGUGGAGAAUUGUACAGAAGUUAAUCUGGUUCUAGAGAAGAGGACAGAAUAGAGAGGCAAGAGAUUAAUGAGAAGAUUGACCAAUAUGCGAAAGCAACAUCUCUAUGGAGAGACUUUGAAGAUCUAGUUCACAGAAUGACUUUUUUUGCAUGCAAAAAAGAAGAACAGGAUGGGACAGACUUUGAACUGCAUAUUGACAGGAGUUUGUGACUGAUGGAAUGAAGUAAAUGUGAGAGACAAAGCAAUCUUAGAGAAGCAUGAUGGCUUAGCUUGGGUUAUAAAAAUAAUGAUCUGCCAAUAACCAAGACAAGAACGGAAGAAGAUUUUUUGAAAAAUAAUGUUAGCUUUAUAUCUACCCAGUUUAAGAUGUUUUCAGGACAUUUGUGUAUAAAUAUAAAAGAAGCUAUUGGAAACAUGGAUAUCAAAUUAAUUAAGGAGAUCAACAGAAAUGUAUAGACUUAGGGCUUAUCUGUAUAGAGGUGAUGACAGGUAGUUAUGGGAAAGAACCUAGAGAGCAAGAAGAAAAGAGGAAUGGUGCCCGAAUCUGGGAGAGAUAGACUUCAGGAUGGCCAGUCAUUGAAUGAGGGAUGAAGAGACUCUGAGAUAAAUUGUUAGUGACAGAGAAGGAAAAGUGCUAAGGAAUCAUUAUAAAAGGGCAGGAAAAUGGCAAUUACAUGACUGUUUAAAAGUGUCAAAUUUGAGGAGAUAUUGAGUCAUAUGUAGAGUAUGGGUUUUCCAUUGGGAAGAGGUUGUUGGUCUUGGAGAAAAUAAUUUCUACAGAGAUGGAGAAAUGAAAAAGAAACCAAUUUGAUCAUAUUUAGGAAAGAGGAUUGGUAAGGAAGUAGAAAAUGUAAAUUUCUUUCUAGGAAAAAUUUGAGAGAAGAAAGCUAGAUGAAAUAGUAGUAUGAUGCGGUCCUAGGAUAUGCAUAAAUCAAGGGGAAAAAGUGGUAAAAUAGGAGAGAAGAAGAAAGGAGAGAGAGAGAAUGGAAAUGAGAGACAUGAUAAGAUUAAAACUCUGAUGGAGUGAUUUGCCUUAAAAGGGGUAGAACUAUUUCUUCCUUGAGACAGAAUGCAGUUGAUAAAUGAGGAUAAAAGAAAAAGGUGAGGUGUGAUUGAGAAAUCUGGUGGACGUUUCCAUGAGUAUGGAUUCUGUUUUCUUAGACACGUGUAUGGGUGGACUAUAGUGAACGUUCUAUCUGGGAAAGACAUGAUGAGGAUAUAAAGUGGGCGUGAUAUUAAGAUCUCAUACAAGACAGUUAAUUAUAGCAAAAAUAAGUCUUCCAAAAAUUGAGGGCACAUUUCAUGCUUCCCCAAGGUGAUAAAGACCACCAGCCAACAACUGCCAAGGGCAACCUUUGCAUUUUAAAUUUGCUGUGCAGAAAAGGAAGCACACCCUAUGUGAACAGUGGGUGCGUCAGUUAGAGGGAGGAGAAAAGGGCUUUUCUAGAGUUUGAAAUUUUGCUGAAUUAUGGUACAUAUAGUGUAAGUGAAGUGGCAAAUGCCUUCACAUUGGAUAUUGUCAUGAGACAGAGUCUUUACAGUAACUGCUUAUCUCAGUAAUUGUUCAAGAGUUGGGAGGCACUAAGAGGGGUAGGAACAUCAUUGGAAAGAAAGCAACGAUUGCACAAGAGGAGGGAUGAUGUGGCUUGAGAAGACAGAUGGUUAAAACAGCCUUGUCCACGUCUAGGUAAAAACAUAUUUAGGUCAUGGCCUGAUUAACCGCAGUAUGAGAAGUGAACAUAGGAUUGGGGUUCUGUUUCUUUGCAAACUAGAUAAUGAAGAGAAAUGUGAAAUGCUGAAUCCCCAAACUCCAUAUCUGAAACUCUGCACCUUAUUUAAAAUUGAAUCUGCUUCCCUGAGUCAAAGUGACUCCGGUGGCUCGGAUUUCUAGAGUGAGUUGUUUCUUCUUUAGUCAUAGGUUUUCACUGAAAAUUUUGUAUAGUUUAUGAUUUCAGAAAACAAGGUUUGUUAGCCCUAUUCUUGAAGUUCAUAUAAGCAGGUCUGCAUAGUCACAGGCCUAUUAGUAACUUAUUUCCAGGAGUGACAGUGGUUUCUGUAUAGGACCAUCUAGUGAAAAGGCAUUUCGAUUUGGAUGUGUAUUGCAAGGUUUCUUGAUCUCCCUCCCAGUUAUGUGUAAUAUUAUGAUCUGAGGCAGGGAGAUACAUUUUGUGAGAUAUCGGGAAGUAAACUUCCAAACUGCCUUUUCUUUUACUGCAUAGCUUUCCACUUUGUUCUCCUAAUCUAUCUAAGCAGUCAUUUUUUUUUUUUUUUUAAAUCUGUAUAGUGGAAAUUUGAUCACAGCUAAAAGUUGCGCAAAUAGGAAAAUACAGAUAAGAAAGAUCACUCCCUCUUUCAGCUACACUUUCUUUUCUCGAGUCAUCAGUGUUUCUGUAAAAGCCUCUGUUCAUAGUUGAUGUGCAUAGCAAGAAGAGCUAUUGAAGUUAAGAUUACCCUGUUGUGCAGGAAGUCAGGAGAAGGAAAGACAGAUUUUAAUAAGCCAAAAGUAGGACAAAUCUUGGGAAAAAUGUGCAAAAAACUAAGUGAAAUUUAUAUUCUCUAGGGGAAAAAGAUAGAUAUUCCUUUCAUAUGGAAGAAUCUUUUAAAAGUUGUCAGAAUUAGAAUGGAGUCACUUGUGUUUCAAGCCUGACAGAUGGAGCCGAGAAAGGUUAAGAAGAGAGGAUUCUCACUCAUGUAUGCCUGAUAACAAGGCUGCCACAAAAGACUCUGCAAAACCUAUAACCCACAAAGGCUACUGCAACCUUACAAAAAUAUAUAUACUUCUGUGAGUGCAUCGGCCCCGCAACUGCCUGUCCAACCUUGGACUGAUGCCACCCUUGUUAUCGAUUCUUGUAGCCAAGUAUAAUUGUCUCACAACAACUUAUGUAACCCUCCUCAUUUUUCUCUUAAAGAUUCUUGCCUCCCUUUACCUCCUGGAACACACUCACAUAUAUUCCCAUUGCAAUGCCUAUUUCCAAAUAAAUAUAAUUUUCUUUUAUAGUCUUCCUCUCUGUCUGUUACUUAGGCUUGGCAAUCUAAAUAAAUAUCAUAAAGAUUUCAUUGUAAACAUUGUUUGGUACAGUCAUUUAUAUGGUAGUCCGUGUGAGCUGUUCCCCAUGGGGUAUAUAUCUAGACUGCAAAAACAUUUGCGUUUUACAAUACCCCUGCAAAUUAGCAGUCAUUAUGGUCCCCUUUGAUAAAUAAACUAAAUGAAGCCUGAAGAGAAAAAAGUAAUUUUCCUAAAUCAGACAGCCUGUUAAUGAGAGAGACCUAGAACUCACCAGAUAACAUUUGCUUCUGGCAUAAAUUAUUAUUUGUAGAAGGAACCACAUUGAAAUAUUUUGAGUUCAUUUAUCAUUGGUACAUUUUCCGUGUUAUCACAAUAGUUAGGUAAUGCAGUGUGGAAAGAAUAAUAUAAAAUCUACAAGUGCUUCUUGGCUGGCAGCCAUCUACUGGCUCAAUGACUUUUCCUGUUGUUGAAAACUAAUGCUCAUCAGCAUUGAAAAUUUUCACAUAUUGGUGUGUCAUUUUAGACAUUUGCAAAUAGUUCCCCUAUUUGAAGUGUUAAGCCUUUUGUUUUUACUGCUUUGAUUUUAUUAGUUCUUGCAGAGUCAUCCAGGUGUAGUAAUAUUAUACAAAAAUGCAUGACAGUAUAUUUUUAUGCAUGGUAAUAGUUGGUAUUUAGUUGUGCAUAUUAUAUCUUAGAUAUUGAAAAUAAUAUUUUGCAACAAUACAAACUUUUACGAAGCUGAAUAAACACAUUUUCAUAUCAAUAUAAUCAUAUUUACAUACUGAAUAUUUUAUAGUUGAAUUUAAAAAGGAUAAGUCAUUAAGGGAUUAAUAAUGAAAGAAUGUGAAUAUACUAUUAUGUACUUUUAGAAGUGCAUGUCAGUAUUUGGUAUUUUAAUAAGUGUCUACUGGCGUGAUAUUUAGAGUUUCAAACACAUUGGAAUUCACCAAAAUAGAAAAUAAGAUGGACCAGCCAAAAAUUGUUUUAACUUUGAAGAAGAAUUAUAGAAUGUCUACCAGCAAAUGUAAUUUAAUUUAUAAGAAUGAUUUAGAAAGAAAAGAAAUGAAGCAUGAUGCCCAUGAAUCAGGGGUUUUUAAGUAUAUGUUAUUGAUUUAUUGCAUUGAAACUCUUGGGGUUUAAACAAAACAGCUAUUAAAAAGUCUGUUUUCCGUUUCUUGUAGUUGGUUGGAGAAACAUUUGGUAAAUAAAAUGCAAAGAUUUCAGUUUCAUUGGAAACUAUCAUAAUCCUAGGUCAGGGAUUAUGGAGUGACUUUUUGAAGAAUUAUUCUGAAAGUACAUUUCAACUUUUCUCAUCAACUUAGUGUAUUGAAUCAACCUUAUGUAUAGACAUUUUUUGCUUUUCUGACCAGAUGUCACAUUUUGACACCAUAUUUAAAGAUAAAUUAACAGUCCCUUGCUGUUCAAAGCUCAUCAUAUUUUCUUAUCAUUUCUAAGUUACGUGAGAGAUUAAGAAAUGGACAAAAUAUGUAAUUGGCUUUUUAAAAAAAUAGGUGUGUCUGAAUGUUCAUUUUUUUUCUGGGGUUCUUUUCUGAUGUAAUUUCUUUAAUUUGAUCUAGAAUGUUUUAACAUUUCCGUCUUUUAAUGUUUUCAUAAAUACUGCAAGUAUUUCAUCUUCCUCACAAUUGAAAAGGUCAAUAUUUAAGCCACAUCAGUAGUGACUACAUUAAAUUACCUGAAGGCACAGAAUAUUUUAAAACUGUAGGCAACAGAACCCAGGAGCACAGCAGAGUCUUUGGUAUUGGAAUCUAGGUCAGCCCUCUAAAACGCAUGUGCCUUCCCAACCAUUGCUUUUUCUCUCUAGGUCACUUCGAGGUUUAUAUGCUUCCUUCAAAUGCUUGCAAUCUGAAACUGUUACAAAAGGGAUGAGGUUUCUGAAUCUUUCUUCGUUUCUUUCUAUAUAAUUCUACAAAAUCUUAUUUAGAACUAUGAAUGACAGUAAGAAAAUAUUUAAGGCAACACUUUUUUUAAACCUACAGAUGUUGGGAUUGACCUUUUAAUUUGGUGCAUCAUAUUUUUUCCGUGAUUUUGUGAUUAACAGCCCACAGGCUUUAGGGAUCUGGGCGGAAGAAGCCACAGGUGAAGGCCAGCACCAACACUAGUGAGAAUUGUUACCAGUUCAUUAAGAAGACACUUGCAAAAUGUAUAUUCAAGACUUCCAAGAUUGUAGAAAAUAAUUUAUUUCUGUGUACAUUUGCUCCUGUGAUCGCUAAUUGAAGGUAACCGCACAUAGGAUUAAAUAAAGCAUCCCAUUUCUCAAUUUAAUAUUUAUUUACUCAUGUAAGUUAGACAUUUUGAAACCAUGCUUUUUUUUCUGAUGGAAUAAAGCAAGGGUCAUAAGAAGGCAGAUAAACUCUGCAGUGGAUUAUAUUCCCUCCAUUUCUAUCCCUCUGUAAGAACAAAAGAGCUCCUGGGAGAGUGGGGAAUGCAUGUGUUUAUUUUCCAAUUAUUAAGGAGUAAAAUUAUCUUGGACAUCCUAAAAUAUCAUCUAUGCUUCUUCCGUAAGCAUAGAAGUGACACAAUGCAUAGACAAACAUGUCUGAAAUAACAAGUACUGAUAGCAUUGAUAGGUUUUUGGCUCACUUGAGGGUCAAUUAUUGAUGAUAUAUAUGCAAAUUUAAGGAGACUGCAUAUCAUCUGUAAGAGUAAGCGCUGAGAAAUCUUUAAAAAAUAGUGAAGUGACCUAUGAAAUUUACUUACAGUAAAAUGUACUUAAUGUCAUUUUUAAUGUUACAUAAUUAGACUCAUAAAACAUAAACCUAGGAUAAUUACACUUCUGUAAACAUAUUUCAAUUACUGUUUUUAGUUGCUUGACUUGAGAGUGAUUAUCUUAUGUCAGGUGUCUAGGUCACCCUCCAAGUCAGUGACAUAUAUUCAGUGACCUAAAUUGUGCUAUAUUUAUGGUAUUUAAAUUAUGAUGCAUGUUAUUGUCUUCAAUUACUUAAGUCCCAGUAAAUGUAAUUUGAAGCAAAAUAAUUAUGAUUAAAUAUAUAAGGCACAGUUUAUCUGCUUACAUUAACAAAGAAGUAUUUUGUUUUCUAUUUCUUGUUCAAAGCAAAAAUUCCUGUGGUUUGAACAGAAAUAUAUAUACUUUUAUAGACAAAUGAACAAAUUUGAGUUACUCUGGUAUUGUUCAUUACACCACAAUCUUUCAGUGCAUAUUGAAUUCUAAAGAUUAUAAUAUCCACAUAUUAUCUUUCAAAAUGGCUGAUAUGUCCAGACAUUCCGAGUGCCCUCAUACUGAGAAGAGUGUGACAGUGUGCCGAUAUUCUCCUGUGGGGAAAAAGAACACAUUCAGUGCAAGUACCUGCUGAGCGCCACCCACUGCAUGCUGGGUCUUGGUGAGUUCAAGGGCUGAGCAAUUCUAAUAGUACCGGGAAAAAAGGACUCAACGAUUAUUCAAGAGGGACAAGUCAAAAGCCUACAGGAAAAUAACCCUGGUUUAGAUUGGAAAGGAAAAGUCAAGUUAGAGACGUAACCAGGGGCUUUCAUGUUGAAUGUAAAAGUGGCAGGCAGCUGUUCUUGUUCUUCAUUUCCAAGGGCAUAGAACAGGAAAUGAGGUGUAAGUUGCAGUCCCGUGGAUCCAGGUUAAGUAUGAAUUGGCUGUAGGUUACAUAUAAAUUGGCUGUGGGAAUCAUUUACAUAAAUAAGACAUUUAACUCUUUGACUGAACAUAUUUUAAAACAGUGAAAUUCUCUCUCCUGUUUGGAAUGGUUUACGUUUUACCUUGCUGUGAAGUAAGAAUGAAUAGGUCUACAGACAUAUUGUCCUGAGGGUGCUUGAUCUCAUCUGAAAUAAGAGUGAAUAAGAUGAGUUAGUGAAAUUCAUAGUCACACUCAUUUUAUUCUUCAGACAAUUUCAAGCAACUUUCAAAGACUAAAAUAAAAAAAAAAAACUUUUAGUGAUUCAUUGUCAAUUUACAGACUAAAGAAAGUAGUUAAGUUGAAGUGGGUUUAUUUGUGUCUGGAUACCAGAAUUUAUAAUAGGCUAUGUGGGUGGAAGAGACUUUAUAACCCAAAAUCAGAGUAGAAAUUGAUUCAGAAUAACUAGUUCUGACUCAAACUUAUGACAUGUUAAUGACAGAAAGUUUGAAGUUGAGGUUUAAAAAGAAAUAUUAAUAUUAAAAUUUUGACAUAAACCUAUUCCUUAAUUGAAGUAGCAUUGCUUCUUAAUAGAAGCAGGAGAUACUUGAUGUGUACCUGGCAUCAACUGGUGUCUUUGCGAAAAUUAUAAAAAUAGAUUAAGUAAAAUGUUCACAAUAGCAUUUUGCAUGGUAUUGGGUGUGUGGAAUCAUUAUAUUUGAUAAAUACAUUAAGAUGGCAUUGACUAACCCUAAAUGCAUAGCCUAGCUAUAUGUUAGGACAAUUCUUGCAUCAUAACCAGUUCUAGUGUUGACAAUGUGAAUUUUUCACUGUUGUUGUAGAGAGUGCUUAUCAACACAUAAGAUAUUCACGGAUAACUAUUUCUUCUAAUGGCAUUGCGGCAUAAUAUGGAGCGUAUGAAAAAAUCAACAGCCCUGCUAUCCUGUUGAAAUAAACUGGAUCACUUUGAGUUAAAAGGGCACAGAACAAGCUUUCUGAUUAUUUUCUGUAUUCCUUCAACUGUCUCUUAUUAAUGUCAAACUAUAUAAGUUAUUACCAAAAACAUGAUACUUUGGAUCUUACCAAAUAAAAGAAAGGUUUUAUUUGUGGUUGUAUUUACAAAUCUCACUGAUGUCCAUAAAUAUUAUUUACAAAUUAAGGACAUUGGAGCUACAGAAUCAAAAAGAGGCCAGGCUCAGUGGUUCACGCCUGUAAUCCUAGUGCUUUGGGAGGCCAAGGCGGGGGAUUCCUUGAGGCCAGUAUACAUGGCUGUAGUGAGCUAUGAUUUUGUCACUGCACUCCUGCCUGGGUGACAGAGUGAGACCCUGUGUCUAAACAAACAAACAAACAAAA
rnacentral:lncRNA from 1 species